GGAGCCGUAGCGAAAGCGAGUUUUAACUGAGCGUUCAGUUACUUGACGUAGACCCGAAACCGGGCGACCUACCCAUGAGCAGGAUGAAGCGAAAGUAAAAUUUCGUGGAGGUCCGAACCCACGAGCGUUGAAAAGCUCGGGGAUGACUUGUGGGUAGCGGUGAAAUUCCAAUCGAGCCCGGAGAUAGCUGGUUCUCCCCGAAAUAGCUUUAGGGCUAGCCUCAAGGUGAGAGAUACGGAGGUAGAGCACUGAAUGUCCUAGGGGGUAUUGCACCUACCGAAGACUAUCAAACUCCGAAUGCCGUCAUCUUAUACUUGGGAGUCAGACUGUGGGUGAUAAGAUUCAUAGUCGAAAGGGCAACAGCCCAGAUCGUCAGCUAAGGUCCCUAAAUGUAAGUUAAGUGGUAAAGGAUGUGGGAUUGCACAGACAACCAGGAUGUUGGCUUAGAAGCAGCCACUCAUUCAAAGAGUGCGUAAUAGCUCACUGGUCGAGUGAUCCUGCGCCGAAGAUUUCCGGGGCUAAAACUUACUACCGAAGCUACGGCAUCAGUAAUGAUGGGUAGGGGAGCUUCCCAUACGGGUUGAAGCAUGACCGUAAGGACAUGUGGACAGUAUGGGAGUGAGAAUGUUGGCAUGAGUAGCGAGAUGUGGGUGAGAAUCCCACAGGCCGUAAACCCAAGGUUUCCAGGGGAAGGUUCGUCCGCCCUGGGUUAGUCGGGACCUAAGCUGAGGCCGAAAGGCGUAGGUGAUGGACAACAGGUUGAUAUUCCUGUACUACCGAUAACCGUUUGAGAGA
rnacentral:rRNA from 1 species